UUUGUCAAAUUAAGAAUUGAACACUACUAACUGCAUUGAUGUGUUCUUUUCAGGGAUAAACAGUGACCAGAAACAGCUGCAAACUUCAUUCCAGCAUCCAUGUGACCCUUCACGGACAGUGCAGGCACUAAUUGAUCCACCGCAUGUCUUCAAAUGCAUAAGGAACAAUCUUCAGAAGGUUGGAAAGUUUCUGCUACCGGAAGGACAUGAGGUCCAUCACUUCCACUACUCUGCCCUGCUGGAGUACGAGGAGCAACAGGCUGGCCUUCGGGCUGUCCCGAAGCUCACAAGGGCUCACAUCUUCCCGAACGCCUUCCAGAAGAUGAGUGUCCGGCUUGCUGU